rnacentral:rRNA from 1 species
AGAGUUUGAUCCUGGCUCAGAUUGAACGCUGGCGGCAGGCCUAACACAUGCAAGUCGAGCGGUAGCACAGGAGAGCUUGCUCUCUGGGUGACGAGCGGCGGACGGGUGAGUAAUGUCUGGGAAACUGCCUGAUGGAGGGGGAUAACUACUGGAAACGGUAGCUAAUACCGCAUAACGUCUUCGGACCAAAGUGGGGGACCUUCGGGCCUCAUGCCAUCAGAUGUGCCCAGAUGGGAUUAGCUAGUAGGUGGGGUAAUGGCUCACCUAGGCGACGAUCCCUAGCUGGUCUGAGAGGAUGACCAGCCACACUGGAACUGAGACACGGUCCAGACUCCUACGGGAGGCAGCAGUGGGGAAUAUUGCACAAUGGGCGCAAGCCUGAUGCAGCCAUGCCGCGUGUGUGAAGAAGGCCUUCGGGUUGUAAAGCACUUUCAGCGAGGAGGAAGGGUUCAGUGUUAAUAGCACUGUGCAUUGACGUUACUCGCAGAAGAAGCACCGGCUAACUCCGUGCCAGCAGCCGCGAUAAUACGGAGGGUGCAAGCGUUAAUCGGAAUUACUGGGCGUAAAGCGCACGCAGGCGGUUUGUUAAGUCAGAUGUGAAAUCCCCGCGCUUAACGUGGGAACUGCAUUUGAAACUGGCAAGCUAGAGUCUUGUAGAGGGGGGUAGAAUUCCAGGUGUAGCGGUGAAAUGCGUAGAGAUCUGGAGGAAUACCGGUGGCGAAGGCGGCCCCCUGGACAAAGACUGACGCUCAGGUGCGAAAGCGUGGGGAGCAAACAGGAUUAGAUACCCUGGUAGUCCACGCUGUAAACGAUGUCGACUUGGAGGUUGUGCCCUUGAGGCGUGGCUUCCGGAGCUAACGCGUUAAGUCGACCGCCUGGGGAGUACGGCCGCAAGGUUAAAACUCAAAUGAAUUGACGGGGGCCCGCACAAGCGGUGGAGCAUGUGGUUUAAUUCGAUGCAACGCGAAGAACCUUACCUACUCUUGACAUCCAGAGAAUUCGCUAGAGAUAGCUUAGUGCCUUCGGGAACUCUGAGACAGGUGCUGCAUGGCUGUCGUCAGCUCGUGUUGUGAAAUGUUGGGUUAAGUCCCGCAACGAGCGCAACCCUUAUCCUUUGUUGCCAGCACGUAAUGGUGGGAACUCAAAGGAGACUGCCGGUGAUAAACCGGAGGAAGGUGGGGAUGACGUCAAGUCAUCAUGGCCCUUACGAGUAGGGCUACACACGUGCUACAAUGGCGUAUACAAAGAGAAGCGAACUCGCGAGAGCAAGCGGACCUCAUAAAGUACGUCGUAGUCCGGAUCGGAGUCUGCAACUCGACUCCGUGAAGUCGGAAUCGCUAGUAAUCGUAGAUCAGAAUGCUACGGUGAAUACGUUCCCGGGCCUUGUACACACCGCCCGUCACACCAUGGGAGUGGGUUGCAAAAGAAGUAGGUAGCUUAACCUUCGGGAGGGCGCUUACCACUUUGUGAUUCAUGACUGGGGUGAAGUCGUAACAAGGUAGCC